rnacentral:tRNA from 1 species
AUUAUAAUAGCUUAAUAAGAGUAUUGUUUUGAAGCAACAAGGGUGACAAAGUCUUAUAAUA